rnacentral:rRNA from 1 species
UACGACUACAUAUCAGGCAUAUCAAUAAGCGGAGGAAAAGAAACUAACAAGGAUUCCCCUAGUAACGGCGAGUGAAGCGGGAAGAGCUCAAAUUUGAAAUCUUCAAGGUUCUACCUUGACGAAUUGUAGUUUAAAGAAGUGUUUUCGGUUAGAGGAGUAGUAAAAGUUCUUUGGAAUAGGACAUCAUAGAGGGUGAGAAUCCCGUAUUUGACUAUUCUUUCUAGCUUUGUGAUACACUUUCAAAGAGUCGGAUUGUUUGGGAAUGCAGUCCAAAAUGGGUGGUAAAUUUCAUCUAAAGCUAAAUAUUGGCGAGAGACCGAUAGCGAACAAGUACCGUGAGGGAAAGAUGAAAAGAACUUUGAAAAGAGAGUUAAACAGUACGUGAAAUUGUCAAAAGGGAAGCGUUUGACACCAGUGUUGUUUCUACGAAAAUCAAUUUAUGAUGGCUUGAUGCUAAGCUUUAAGACUUUAUCCGCUUGUUGUUUAGCUUUCUUGUCUUUGUGAAUGCACUUUUCGUGGAACAAGUCAACAUCAAUUUCUUUUGCUGUAAAAGGGUAAGAGGAAGGUGGCUUCGGCUUCGGUUGAAGUGUUUAUAGCCUUUUAUCUCUGCAGUCGGAGAGAUUGAGGUCUGCAGCGUAGACUCUUCGGGGUUAGAUACGUCGGUGCUAAGCUAUAGCUUUUCAUAGACAACUUGUUGACUAUGUUUAGUCAUGUGGCUUACCCGCUGGCGCUAUUUUACCUACGCUUAGGAUGUUGACUGAUAUGUAGUCGU